rnacentral:rRNA from 1 species
GACGUAGGGCGCGAGCGUUGUCCGGAUUUAUUGGGCGUAAAGAGCUCGUAGGCGGCUUGUCGCGUCGACUGUGAAAUCCCGCGGCUCAACUGCGGGUCUGCAGUCGAUACGGGCAGGCUAGAGUUCGGUAGGGGAGACUGGAAUUCCUGGUGUAGCGGUGAAAUGCGCAGAUAUCAGGAGGAACACCGGUGGCGAAGGCGGAUCUCUGGGCCUUACCUGACGCUCAGGCACGAAAGCUAGGGGAGCGAACAGG